GAUGAACGCUGGCGGCGUGCCUAAUACAUGCAAGUCGAGCGAAGCGGGGACGGGUGAGUAACACGUGGAUAACCUCCUAUAAGACUGGGAUAACUUCCUGAAACCGGUGCUAAUCCGGAUACUUAUCCCUGGAUCCGGGCUGCAUUAGCUAGUUGGUAAGGUAACGGCUUACCAAGGCAACGAUGCAUAGCCGACCUGAGAGGGUGACUGGCCAGACUGGAACUGAGACACGGUCCAGACUCCUACGGGAGGCAGCAGGAGGGAAUCUUCCGCAAUGGGCGAAAGCCUGAUGCAGCAAUGCCGCGUGAGUGAUGAAGGUCUUCGGGUCGUAAAAUUCUGUUAGUAGGGAAGCGGUACCUAAUCAGAAAGCACCGGCUAACUCCGUGCCAGCAGCCGCGGUAAUAC
rnacentral:rRNA from 1 species